rnacentral:lncRNA from 1 species
UCCCACCAACACCUUUGCAAUAGUACUAUGGUUUAUGAGCAGGCCUCAGAAAAUCAGUAUUUAGUACCUGGUUAUAACUGGUGGUGGGCAUGCAAUACUGGGUUAACUCCCUGUGUUUCUACCACAGUCUUUAACCAAUCCAAAGAUUUCUGUGUCAUGGUCCAGCUCGUCCCCUGGGUACACUACCAUCCUGAGGAAGUAGUCAUCGAUGAGUAUGACUAUCGGCCUACCCGCUCAAAAAGAGAGCCUGUGACCCUUAACCCUAGCCGUUAUACUAGGAUUAGGGAUGGCUGGUGUGGGGACAGGGACAGCUGCCCUGAUCACAGGACCACAGCAGCUAGAAAAAGGACUUGGUGAGCUACAUGUGGCCAUGACAGAAGAUCUCCGAGCCUUAGAGGAAUCUGUUAACAACCUAGAAGAAUCCCUGACUUCUUUGUCUGAAGUGGUUCUACAGAACCGGAGGGGAUUAGAUCUGCUGUUUCUAAAAGAAGGUGGGUUAUGUGCAGCCUUAAGAGAAGAAUGUUGCUUCUAUGUGGAUCACUCAGGAGCCAUCAGACUCCAUGAGCAAGCUUAGAGAAAGGUUAGAGAGACGUCGAAGGGAAAGAGGCUGACCAGGGGUGGUUUGAAGGAUGGUUCAACAGGUCUCCUUGGAUGACCACCCUGCUUUCUGCUCUGACGGGACCCCUAGUGGUCCUGCUCCUGUUGCUUACAGUUGGGCCUUGCUUAAUUAAUAGGUUUGUUGCCUUUGUUAGAGAACGAGUGAGUGCAGUCCAGAUCAUGGUACUUAGGCAACAGUACCAAGGCCUUCCGAGCCAAGGAGAAACUGACCUUUAGCCUUCCCAGUUCUAAGAUUAGAACUAUUCACAAGACAAGAAGUGGGGAAUGAAAGGAUGAAAAUGCAGCCUAACCCUCCAAGACCCCAAGAAGGUAGUGAAGAGCCCUAACUCCAGCUUCCUAAAAAGCCCUAGUGACCUAUCUCAACUGCAAUCUGUCACUCCGCCCAGGAGCCCGCGCAAAUGCGGACCUCCGGAACUGUAGAAAAAUGAUUGGUCCACGGAGUGCAGGCUCUCGAUGUUUUAAAAUGAUUGGUUUGCGAAGCGCGGGCUUUGUUGUGAACCCCAUAAAAGCUGUCCCAAUUCCGCACUCGGGGCCGCAGUCCUCUACCCCUGCGUGGCGUACGACUGUGGGCCCCAGCGCGCUUGGAAUAAAAAUCCUCUUGCUGUUUGCAUCAAGACUGCUUCUCGUGAGUGAUUUGGGGUGUCGCCUCUUCCGAGUCCAGACGAGGGGGAUUUUCCUUCUACUGGCCUUUUCACACCACCUGCUACCUUUCCCCAUCCAUGCUAGUUGCUGCCAGUCAGCCCUGGUAUGUUCCCCCAAACCUGGUCUUUUGGUUGGCAACAAAUUAAUCACAGUUGGCACAUCAGAUAGCAUGGGUGUUACUCCUGUCAUAGGUGAUCUGCGGACCCCUUCCUAGAAUUAAGUUGUCUUGUUCUGAGACAGUAGGUGUGGCCAUUCAGGUACUACAGUAACAGCCCAGGUUUGUGGGUGCCAGGACCUGCCAGCUCCCUUGCCAAGUGUUAUCUAUCCAUCAGGGCCUGCUGUGAGUGCCUGUUCACGACGUUGCUCUUUCAGGUGGAUCUGUGUACACAGGCUCCGUGGAGGUUCCUCUUCAUGUCAGCCAGGCGCUAGACCCUGGGGCCUCAGAUGUGUUGGUGGAAGGCUGAAACUCUGCAAUGGUGCUUUCAUUACUCGGUGACCCUGAAGAGGCAACACGGCGCCCCCCCUAGAGGCAUGACUGGCUCCCAGGUAACAGGUGACAUCUAGUUUGGCUGUGUAAACUGGGAGCUUGGGCCUGUUCCAUUGGGAUCCUCUGAGCUGUUACUUGAAGAUGGUGCUGGAAAGUAAUGCUUGUGGGCUUCUUCUAGAUUCAUCCACUGUGUGCACAGCAGCAGGACAGAAUGGAGAGGGAGGUCCCCACACGAAGCCUCACCAGGGCUCGCUGCCCUCUGUGCCGAGUCAUGGGAGAACCCUUCCCUCAGCACAGAGAUGAGGGGAAGCCCUGGGACUGGCAUCUCUUGAGUCCCGACACUGCCCUGGUUGGGGGGUGGGGGAGCUGUGGACAGGGAAGGCUGGCCCUGAGCCUCAAUGCUGCGCCUGGAUGACUUCAGCAACCAGGAGUUUUUCUCUUGAGUUGGCAGCUGCUUGUCAAUCUGCUCUCCACCCAUCCAUUCAAUAAACUGUACACAGUCA